AGCGAACGUUAGCGGCGGGCUUAACACAUGCAAGUCGAGCGAGAGAGUGACUUCGGUCAUGAGUAAAGCGGCAGACGGGUGAGGAACACGUAGGUAAUUUUCCGUUUAGUGGGGGACAACGGUCCGAAAGGACCGCUAAUACCGCAUACGUUCCUUGGGGCUUUGGCCCUGGGGAGGAAAGCUGGGCAACUGGCGCUAAAUGAGAAGCCUGCGUCGCAUCAGCUAGUUGGUGGGGUAAUGGCCUACCAAGGCGAAGACGCGUAGCUGGUCUGAGAGGAUGAUCAGCCACACUGGAACUGAGACACGGUCCAGACUCCUACGGGAGGCAGCAGUGGGGAAUAUUGGACAAUGGGCGCAAGCCUGAUCCAGCCACGCCGCGUGAGUGAUGAAGGCCUCGGUCGGUAAAGGACUCUGUGGGGAGGAGGACGAACCG
rnacentral:rRNA from 1 species